AUCGCUUCUCGGCCUUUUGGCUAAGAUCAAGUGUAGUAUCUGUUCUUAUCAGUUUAAAAAUAAGUAUUUCAUACAAUGUCCAAUCUAGUAUUGUUUCUUUUAGCUUUUUAUUUUUUGAAAUAAUUUAUGGAAUUUCAUAAAAGUUGCUGAAAUAGAAGAGUUUACAUACACCCUACAGCUGGCAUCCCUAA